rnacentral:rRNA from 1 species
AGCCCACUCGCGCGUCCCCUCCACCAAGAGCCACAAGAUCCCUGCCGAAAGUCUUAUCUAUUUUAUGCUCUUUCCCGUCGAAGGUGCACUCUGAACAUGCGUUAAAAUGUGUAAAAAAGUAGUAGUGCACGUGUAAAUGUAAAUAGUGGCGACCUCUAAAAAGAGCGUCCGCAUUCAUUAAUGAUCCUUCCGUAGGUGAACCUGCGGAAGGAUCAUUAAUGAAAAGCGCUCUUUUUUAGAGGUCCGACCAACUCAUUUACCUUUACACUGUGCACAUACUACUUUUUUACACAAAUUUUAACGCAUUAGUUUAAGAAUGUAAAAUCAGUCUCAAAGAGCAUAAAAUAAAUAAAACUUUCAGCAACGGAUCUCUUGGCUCUCGCAUCGAUGAAGAACGCAGCGAAAUGCGAUACGUAAUGUGAAUUGCAGAAUUCAGUGAAUCAUCGAAUCUUUGAACGCACCUUGCACUCUUUGGUAUUCCGAAAGUAUGUCUGUUUGAGUGUCAUGAAACUCCCAACCCCCUCAUUUUGUAAUGAAAUGUAGCGUGCUUGGUUUAUGGCUGUCUGUCGGCGUAAAUGCCGGCUCAGCUGAAAUAUACGAGCAACCCAGUUUAAAUACUUGACGGCUUGACUCGGCGUAAUAACUAUUUCGCUGAGGACGUCUAACCUUUAAAUCGUUAGUGGUGCUUCUAAUGCAUUAAUCAUUUUAAGCUUUAGACCUCAAAUCAGUCAGGACUACCCGCUGAACUUAAGCAUAUCAAUAAGCGGAGGAA